rnacentral:rRNA from 1 species
AGCAGCCGCGGUAAUUCCAGCUCCAAUAGCGUAUAUUAAAGUUGUCGCAGUUAAAAAGCUCGUAGUUGAAUUUCGGGGUUAGUAGGUUGGUCAUGCCUCUGGUAUGUACUGGUCUCACUGAUUCCUCCUUCCUGAUGAGCCGUAAUGCCAUUAAUUUGGUGUUGCGGGAAUCUGGACUGUUACUUUGAAAAAUUAGAGUGUUUAAAGCAAGCUAACGCUUGAAUACAUUAGCAUGGAAUAAUGAAAUAGGACGUUCGAUCCUAUUUUGUUGGUUUCUAGGAUUGACGUAAUGAUUAAUAGGGAUAGUUGGGGGCAUUAGUAUUCAAUUGUCAGAGGUGAAAUUCUUGGAUUUAUUGAAGACUAACUACUGCGAAAGCAUUUGCCAAGGUAUGUU